rnacentral:rRNA from 1 species
UACGUAGGGUGCAAGCGUUUAAUCGGAAUUACUGGGCGUAAAGCGUGCGCAGGCGGUUUUGUAAGUCUGUCGUGAAAUCCCCCGGGCUCAACCCGGGAACUGCGUCCGAUACUGGAAGGCUUGAAUCCGGGAGAGGGAUGCGGAAUUCCAGGUGUAGCGGUGAAAUGCGUAGAUAUCUGGAGGAACACCGGUGGCGAAGGCGGCAUCCUGGACCGGCAUUGACGCUGAGGCGCGAAAGCCAGGGGAGCAAAGCGGG